rnacentral:rRNA from 1 species
GAUGAACGCUAGCGGCAGGCCUAAUACAUGCAAGUCGAGGGGCAGCACAGGUAGCAAUACUGGGUGGCGACCGGCGCACGGGUGCGUAACACGUAUACAAUCUACCUUUAUCUGGAGGAUAGCCCGGAGAAAUUCGGAUUAAUACUCCAUAACAUAGUGAAACGGCAUCGUUUUAUUAUUAAAGCUCAGGCGGAUAAAGAUGAGUAUGCGGAUGAUUAGCUAGUUGGUGAGGUAAUGGCUCACCAAGGCUACGAUCAAUAGGGGUACUGAGAGGUUAAACCCCCACACUGGUACUGAGACACGGACCAGACUCCUACGGGAGGCAGCAGUAAGGAAUAUUGGACAAUGGUGGCAACACUGAUCCAGCCAUGCCGCGUGCAGGAUGAAGGCGCUACGCGUUGUAAACUGCUUUUGUACCAGAGAAAACCUAUCUACGUGUAGAUAGCUGAUAGUAAGGUAAGAAUAAGCAUCGGCUAACUUCGUGCCAGCAGCCGCGGUAAUACGAAGGAUGCAAGCGUUAUCCGGAUUUAUUGGGUUUAAAGGGUGCGUAGGCGGACUUAUAAGUCAGUGGUGAAAUCUCGAUGCUUAACAUCGAACGUGCCAUUGAUACUGUAGGUCUUGAGUACAGAUGCCGUUGGCGGAAUGUGUCAUGUAGCGGUGAAAUGCAUAGAUAUGACACAGAACACCGAUUGCGAAGGCAGCUGACGAGACUGUAACUGACGCUGAAGGCACGAAAGCGUGGGGAUCAAACAGGAUUAGAUACCCUGGUAGUCCACGCCCUAAACUAUGAUUACUAGCUGUCGGCGAUAUACAGCCGGUAGCCAAGCGAAAGCGAUAAGUAAUCCACCUGGGGAGUACGCUCGCAAGGGUG